rnacentral:rRNA from 1 species
UCGGGAAUAUUGGACAAUGGGCGAAAGCCUGAUCCAGCAACGCCGCGUGCGGGACGAAGGCCCUCGGGUCGUAAACCGCUGUCAGGAGGGAGGAACGGUGCGUGGUUAAGAGCUGCGUACUUUGACAGUACCUCCAGAGGAAGCCCCGGCUAACUCCGUGCCAGCAGCCGCGGUAAUACGGAGGGGGCGAGCGUUAUUCGGAAUUAUUGGGCGUAAAGGGCGCGUAGGCGGCCCGAUAAGUCCAAGGUGAAAGCCCUCGGCUCAACCGAGGAACUGCCUUGGAUACUGUCGGGCUCGAGGCUGGAAGAGGGUGAUGGAAUUCCCGGUGUAGCGGUGAAAUGCGUAGAUAUUAGGAAGAACACCAGUGGCGAAGGCGACUCACUGGACAGGUAUUGACGCUGAGGUGCGAAAGCGUGGGGAGCGAACAGGAUUAGAUACCCUGGUAGUCCACGCCGUAAACGAUGAGUGCUAGUCGUCGGCAGGCAUGCCUGUCGGUGACGCAGCUAACGCAUUAAGCACUCCGCCUGGGAGUACGGCCGC